AGGGCCGCUACCACGCGAGUGGAUGCCAAUCCCUAAAACCCCUCUCAGUUCGGACUGGAGUCUGCAACCCGACUCCACGAAGCUGGAUUCGCUAGUAAUCGCGCAUCAGCCACGGCGCGGUGAAUACGUUCCCGGGCCUUGUACACACCGCCCGUCAAGCCAUGGGAGCCGGGGGUACCUGAAGUGCGUAACCGCGAGGAUCGCCCUAGGGUAAAACUGGUGACUGGGGCUAAGUCGUAACAAGGUAAC
rnacentral:rRNA from 1 species